UAAGCCAUGAAAGAACGAAGAGAGGCAGCAGUUCUUCCUCCAUCUCACACAGCCUGCUUGCUUCCUUCUAGCUCUCUCCAGAAUAAUGCAUAACCUGCAGGCUACUGCAGAAUUAAAUGAGACUUCCAUUUUGCUGUUCGACACUUGAGUACUCCUACUACAUGGUGAGCUGAGCUUAUAAAAGACAGAUGCUUUUUGAAUUAAGCAGAUUAUAUUUUAUUGAGAGAUUUUUUUAAUCAUUUCUCCCCUAUUACCAUUAUUGCUGUUUCCACCCCACAAGCAGUUUUUCUUCAGGCUAGAAGAAACAAGCUUUUCUCAACAAGUUUAUAGAUGGUAAAAAAUUCUUGUGCUUUUGAGGGGAAAAGACUGGCCUGCUCCUUUUGAAGCCUUGGCAGUGUCACCUUCCUACUUCAAACUGGAAGUUCAGGAAUAGUUUUAAGAAAUAUUUCUUUCAGGAGACUUGAUUCAAGUCCUUCUACUGGACCAGCCCAAACAAGGAAACUUGCGAACAUCUCAGCAGAAAGUGCAUAGAAGAACACCAGGACCUGCCCAGGGGUCAGUCCGCCUCUCCAGUCCUCAGAAAAUGAGCUUCUCUGCUGACUAAUUAGAUGCCAUGCAGAAAAACAUUCUUCUGUGCUGCUAAAGUACUCUUUCAAGCAGAGCGCUGCAAGUCAUCUGCUGUGCCACCAACCACAAACAGGAUCUGCUGCCAUUUCCUAAAACCUGUGCGGUGCUCACCCCUAUGAGAUCUUUGGCUGCAUGCUGAAAUCUACCGUGAUGUUGAUGUAUAAAGGGUUAUGUUCCACUGACAGCAGUCUAUAGGAACAGGAAUUCAACCCAUCUGUUUUCCAUGUUCUAGAUACCUGACGCAGAAGCUUCAUCCUCUCUCUGUUCUCCUCAUUGCCAUGGUCACGGUUGUGGAAGAUCAUUGUGUAUCUGGCUACAUCAGCAGAUGGCCUCAUCACUCGCAUCUUCUGCAUCUCAACCCUGAUUCGAAGGUCGUCAUCUUCUCC
rnacentral:lncRNA from 1 species